rnacentral:rRNA from 1 species
GAUGAACGCUGGCGGCGUGCCUAAUACAUGCAGGUCGAGCGAACGGACGAGAAGCUUGCUUCUCUGAUGUUAGCGGCGGACGGGUGAGUAACACGUGGAUAACCUACCUAUAAGACUGGGAUAACUUCGGGAAACCGGAGCUAAUACCGGAUAAUAUUUUGAACCGCAUGGUUCAAAAGUGAAAGACGGUCUUGCUGUCACUUAUAGAUGGAUCCGCGCUGCAUUAGCUAGUUGGUAAGGUAACGGCUUACCAAGGCAACGAUGCAUAGCCGACCUGAGAGGGUGAUCAGCAACACUGGAACUGAGACACGGUCCAGACUCCUACGGGAGGCAGCAGUAGGGAAUCUUCCGCAAUGGGCGAAAGCCUGACGGAGCAACGCCGCGUGAGUGAUGAAGGUCUUCGGAUCGUAAAACUCUGUUAUUAGGGAAGAACAUAUGUGUAAGUAACUGUGCACAUCUUGACGGUACCUAAUCAGAAAGCCACGGCUAACUACGUG